GCUGGGAUCAGGGGCAAUAUCUCUGGUAUGUGGGUGCUCUGUUUUUCUCACCUUCUCUCUUGCUUUUUGCUGUUUUUUUCCUCUGAGGGAGGGGUUUUUUCCACUUUAAUUUCUUCUCCCUUAGUAUCAGCUGCUCAAGCCUGACCAACGUAGAGGAGAAAGGAGUAAAUGAUCCUCGGCUUCCCACCUGACCUCCCACCCUUUACACUCUUUUCUUUUGGUGGACAGACAGACUGGUUUUCCAGGUUGUUGGGUGUCAGUGUCCAUCUGUACAGGUCUCUGGGGAAGGAGGGAAGUGAGAAGUGCUGAAAGGCAGACAAGAGAGACAGGUUUUCCAGACAUUCCCUUAUUGAAAUAUGUGGUUCUGGGAAUCUGAAUGUGGGCUGGGAGAAGUGGGGAGAAGCUGGUAGGUUGUCACUGCGUAGUUGGGAAAAGUGGGGGAAUGGUGACGCAGUCACUGUUGCGUCUUCUUAGGAGCUCUGUGGGGACAGGUAGUAAGGUUCCUGGGGUCUGUGGGGCCAGCAGAGGGGUUAAGGAUGAGUUUAAGCAGGAAGCUAGCAUUUAGAGAUUAAAUGUCAUCUUUUUGGCGUUGGAAAGUUGUUUACCUUGCACUCCCUGUGUCUCCAUGUUGGCUCCCUUCCAGUUCACAUGUGAUGGCCUUCCCUGUACUGCUGCAUCAUUAACUAAGUGACUGAGCUGGCCUUCCAUUGGCCAGGGGAGGGCUCUUACUUCAGACACUUCCUCUUAUUGGUGGGAGGGCUGAUGGCAGGUGAAAAGCUCUUUUUGAUUGGCUGAGGGCAGGGUAUCAAAUCUGAAUUUGCAUUUCACUUGCUUAAAGGGAGGGGGAGAAGCCCAGCAGCUUCUAAAAUCUCUUUAGGGGUGUGCGUAGGCGCAUGUGUCUGCCUGUUUUCUGACCACCCGGUCUCAGUCUCUUCCUUUACCUUUUUAAAUUUCAGGAACUGUAAGGAUAGAAGAAAUUAGGAUGCCCCAAACUUUUUUUUUUUCCCUUUUUUUGAGGAAGGAUGUUGAGUAGAUGACUGCACAGAGGUUUGACCAAAUUGGAAGAAAAUAUUUGUCCUCUAAUUUGGUGUCAGAAAAAGGAAUUUUCCAAUUAGCCACACCUCAGUGUUGCAGCAAAAUAAUUCUUGGCUUCCCUGGAAACAGUCAGGCAAGGUAGGGCAGAGUUGCUGCUGCUGUUGCCACCACCCUGGGCUUCCUGCUGACUGGACUGCUCCCCAGAGACUGGAUUUGCACCGUUGCCCUGGCCAUCCAGAGGUUGUCAGUCCAGCCCUGAACUGAGCUCACUGUUGGAAGGACCUGCCUUUUGGAAGCUGCUGCUCUCUGGUGCUUGGAAAGCAGUGGCUGCUUGCUUGCUUGACUCCCAUGGGAGGGGAUCUGGGCACCUUGAUGCCCCUUGUCGUCAGUACCAGGACUGUGGAGCGGAGUAUGACGACAGCCGAGAGCUUGACAGAGUAUAGCCCAGUUUAUGAGUAGGUGACAAUCUCUUGGCAGCUCAUACUCAGCUGAGGAUGAUGCCUGUGUACCCAUGAAGCCAUACUCUGGGGUAAGUGUUCAUUUGCAUUCGUGUAUGUUCUCUUCUGCCUUUGAACAUCUAAAGUGAAUAGGUGUUUUGUCCUCGAUUUCUGUUGCCUUCUCUCCUCUCCUCUUAUGUGCCCCCACUUUGUCCUUCAGAAGGAGAGGCUGGAAUUCAAGUGUUCAACCAGCACACGACCCCUGACCACUCAGAGAAGCCAGUUUUCCCUAAAAUGGAGACAGCUGCUGUGUCCUCAGUGAGAAGCACUAAUAGCUGCACAAAGGACCCUACUGCCCUCACUGCCCCAAGCUUAAAGCUGAGGCUCCCAGCUGGCUGGCUAUACAAGGAUGGUCCUUGCCAGCACGUAGCGUGGAUCUGCCAAGUUCUGACUCCAAAUCUCUAGGCUGGAUGAAUAAGGGCAUUCUCAGCUACUGGUCUACGAGCCUUAUCUGCUCUUUGCCCUCAACCCCAUUCAGCAAAGCAGAGAGGGGCAGCUCCUCUGGGGAGAAAGUUCAAACCCUAAUGGCCUUGGAAAUCUGAGAUGACAUGUCACUCUGCUUUACAUUCUGCUACAUGAGAAACACCAGAGAGGAAAGGGACACUGGCUUCUGGCUAUUUGCGACUCUCCAAAACAGGGAGGAGUGAUGCUUCUUGCAGAGAAUCCUGGGGGACCCAGUAAGCAGGCACAUGAUCCUGCCCAGUUUGCAUAUCUUCCUGUAGUCCUCUUGCCUGUGGCCAAGGCCCUGGAAAACCCCAGCAGGUAAGCAGGGGGCUGCUUACCCUGCUGUUUCCCCACCAGAAGCUGCACCUAUGCAGUGUCAGAAUUGCUAUGCUUCAUAGCCAGCCUCCUCCCUACUGCUGGGAAGGACAAAGAAGCACCAGAGAGGGAGGAGAGCAAAAGCAGGUCCUCCUAGACCACCUGACCCCUUGCAGAACCAACACCAUGCCCUCAUCUUCACCUACGUAUAGCAUGUGCUACAGUGAGUGUCCACCACUUCCAUUCAGAUUGCCUUAGAUAAAUCCUUUUCCCCAGUCUUGCUACAAGUUCAGUUCAAGAGAAAUGAGAUCAUAGUCAAACCAUGGAGCAGGCCGCAGGAACACAGAUAUUCGUCCCAUGACUACAGACAAGUUAUUUAAGGACCAGUUUUUGUGUGGAAAGUAGAACAAAAUACUUGCUUCAUUAGACUUUCGGAAGAAUUAACUAUUAUAGCAGCACAUGUUGCCAGGAGCUGUAAAAAAGAUAAGUCUGUAUCUGGAGGCCAAAAAGGAGUUGCUGGGGAACCUAAAACAUGCAACUCUACUCUGUCUCUCUGGGACGUCAGAGGAAGCACACAGUUUCUUAGCUUCAAAUAGCCAAAAAAAGAUCACAGCAAAGAGGAAGUCUAAUUUGGAACAUAGUUUAUGAAUCUUAUUUUCAGACAUUUUUUUAAAAAUGUAACUCAUUUUUAUAUCAUCUGUAUAAUACAAGGAUAAGAUACCCAGCUUUUUAAGUCAUUUGGGUUAAGUCAGAUUGGCAGCUCAUGGGGUCAUGAGAUGAGAAGGAGGAGCCUGCACUCCUCCUGAAUAAUGCUUGUGGAAGAGUGGCCCUAGCACAGGUAACUCAUCUUUGUUCAGUGAUUAACAUGUCAUAGGCCACUGUACCCUGAUGGUGUGAGAUAUAUAUCUGCAAGCACGCCGCAUACUGGGAAAUAUUACAUAAAUUCAAGACAGUGCAAAUGUAAAUAUUUUAAGGAUGGAUUUGGUUAUUUUAUUUCAUUAUGUAUAGUAAUUUGUAGAGACUAAUGUGAAAUCAAAUAAAGGGAAUGAGCUUUGCAUUGCUCUUGACUGUUGAAGUGUUUGCUAUGACUGCUGCUGCUCUGAGCAGCAUUGUGUGGCUGACUGCCUCUCCUGGGCAAGAUAAUUCUCAAUACUGAGGCUGGGUCUUCUGAAUGCACCUCUGCUUUCUUCAGUGAGAUCCUCUUCUUCUGGAAGCUGGUUUCACAUGGUGGCUUAGAUUUUUCCAUCUUUGUAUCUAGCACCAUUUGAAAUCAGUGUUUUAGGAGUAAGAAUUGCAGCACAGCCGAAGGUAGACUACAGAGGAACAACAGCACACAGGACUGGCUCUCUCCUUGUACUGCUUGAGUUCAUUCAAGAAGUCGAGGGAAGACUUGAACAGCAAAAUUUGCUCUUGAGUCUUUUGGGGAUUGGGGCGUGAUAGUGGGGAGGGGGUUGUGUUCAAAAUAAAUGCAGUGGCCUAAGCAGGAGCAAGAGGGGUGAUCCUCUUUCUCUGGCAUUACUAUUUGGGGGGCCCCUUGAGCAUGGUCCUGUACUGUUCAUCACGUAAUGAUGUUAUGGGUGUUGAUUGUAGCAGGAAAGGAGUGAGAGCUCUGUUCCUGGAGGAAUGCUUCACCCACAUCAGCACUGUCCACCUGCUCCUGGAAGAUGCCUGGAGUACUCAGCUGUGGUUGCAGCACAGCUGAAAUCAGACUUGCCACCUGCCUUGAGGUGCAUACCCGAGGAACACCACUGGCUCAUCUCUUACACAGGCUGACCGAUUUCUCCUGGUGUUCAGAGUCUGUUUUUGUCUAGCACCAUUUGAAAUCGGUUAUGAUGUAGGGGGAAAAGCACCAGCCUCAAAGCCUCGUGGCGUCUGGUCAGCAGCAGCCUGUUAUUUCCUAGACCGGCAGAACAUAGAUGGACAGUCAGUUUCUCUACUAACUUCUUAAAUGCAUGUGUGAUUGCAGAAAUUCAAGGUAGUUUAAUAGAGGUUGAAAAGUAAAUUGCUAUAACUUAUUCAACGUUGUCAGUUGCUUUUUCUGAAAUGUACUGCUGUGAAGUGUAUAAACUGGUUGCUGAACUUUCUAUUAAGAAGAGUACGUUCAUGUAUCCUAACUAAUAAAUAAUUUACUAUAUCCAA